UAACCUAUCUAGUGAUAGAUAGCUGAACAGUCAGAAGUCAGCAGAAGUCAUAGUACUCUUUCAAUCUCGAGAUGGAAGAGGAAGGAC
rfam:Bacillus sp. X1(2014), complete genome.